AUUCGAGUCCCAGAGUGAACACCAACUCUGAGAUGCAGGUACAUCCAAAUAGGACGAAACGCGCGUCCUGGAU
rnacentral:hammerhead_ribozyme from 1 species